AUUGAACGCUGGCGGCAGGCCUAACACAUGCCAGUCGAGCGGAUGAAGGGAGCUUGCUCCUGGAUUCAGCGGCGGACGGGUGAGUAAUGCCUAGGAAUCUGCCUGGUAGUGGGGGAUAACGUCCGGAAACGGGCGCUAAUACCGCAUACGUCCUGAGGGAGAAAGUGGGGGAUCUUCGGACCUCACGCUAUCAGAUGAGCCUAGGUCGGAUUAGCUAGUUGGUGGGGUAAAGGCCUACCAAGGCGACGAUCCGUAACUGGCCUGAGAGGAUGAUCAGUCACACUAGAGCUGAGACACGGUCCAGACUCCUACGGGAGGCAGCAGUGGGGAAUAUUGGACAAUGGGCGAAAGCCUGAUCCAGCCAUGCCGCGUGUGUGAAGAAGGUCUUCGGAUUGUAAAGCACUUUAAGUUGGGAGGAAGGGCAGUAAGUUAAUACCUUGCUGUUUUGACGUUACCAACAGAAUAAGCACCGGCUAACUUCGUG
rnacentral:rRNA from 1 species